rnacentral:tRNA from 1 species
GGAGAGGUUCCCGAGUGGCCAAAGGGAACAGACUGUAAAUCUGUCGGCUAUUGCCUUCGGAGGUUCGAAUCCUCCCCUCUCCA